CAGCAGCCGCGGUAAGACAGAGGAUGCAAGCGUUAUCCGGAAUGAUUGGGCGUAAAGGGCUCGCAGGCGGUUUCUUAAGUCUGAUGUGAAAGCCCCCGGCUCAACCGGGGAGGGUCAUUGGAAACUGGGAAACUUGAGUGCAGAAGAGGAGAGUGGAAUUCCACGUGUAGCGGUGAAAUGCGUAGAGAUGUGGAGGAACACCAGUGGCGAAGGCGACUCUCUGGUCUGUAACUGACGCUGAGGAGCGAAAGCGCGGGGAGCGAACAGGAUUAGAUACCCGCGUAGUCCCUGUCUCUUAUAC
rnacentral:rRNA from 1 species